CAUGCUUAUUGAUUUGGAAAUAGAUAUUGUGAAGGUUUUUCUUUUGGCCUAGGCGUGACUGUGAAAAAUAUACUGAAUCACUAAGGGCACUAAGUUUCUGAAAGUGAGAAAGUUUGAAACCAUCUGCCUCAGAGGUUUACAGAAAAGAAAAUAUCUAAGAGAUUUCAGCCUAGAUAUGCUGGAGUGUUGUGAUACGAGGAUGGACGUUCACAUGGAGUAAGUCAGUCACUGUACUGGACAGAUGCAAACAAAAUGUUGAACUUGGCCUUUCUGGUCUUCACCUCUCUUGGGACUGCUCAGAACCAUUGUGGGUGUGGCGAUGCUUAGCAGGUACUCUGACAUCAUAUCUUCUGCCAUGUGGAAGAAUUCUGUGUAUAAACGGACUCAAAAAUAACUACAAUUAUUGUAAUACCUGAAUUAUUUAGUGCUCAAAGAAUUUCAAGAGAGACAAAGAAAGAGGCAGAAAGAACCAUGGCAUACCUGAGUUGAAAGGACCUGGGACAUCUAAAAAACAAUGAAGGAAUGAAAAUAAACCUGCUACAC
ensembl:lncRNA LINC02215 long intergenic non-protein coding RNA 2215